ensembl:lncRNA
UAUUGUGCAUUUCUGUUUUAUGUAGAUAAUAAAAUAUUACUUUAACAUAAAUAUAUAAGGAUCUCUGCGUUUUUAUUUUCCCCACAAGCACAACCAAAUGUACCAAAAACAAAGUAUUUUUUAAGAGACUGAACAAAAAAAUUACAUCCCAUAUAGAUUUUGCUCACCUAUUCAUUUAAAGCUACAGAAAAACAGUUUCCAGAACCUUUUUGCUUCAAAAGAAAUAAAUAUACAUUGAGGCAGGCCACUUAAAAAUGAUAUGAAAAUAUUUCCCUGGGUAGCAUUAAAAAAAAGAAAAAUAGACAAAGAAACAUUUAAACUAUUUCUGCAUUUCAAAAGACAGAUAUUAAACAUAUAUACAUAGUGGUAAGGUUCAGUGGUAACUUUCAUCUUAGUAAACCUAUAAGAGUCAGAGAAGCUGUAGAUACAUCCUCUGAACUCCAGCUUCUGACCUUACCUACUUGGUAAUAAGUAUCUGAAAAUUCAUUUCCUCCCUUCACCAGUGGCUAUUUGCCCUGCUCUGGAUAGCUUCACUAAAGGCCAGUCCCCAUACCUCAGGAACGAGCAGCGUGAUGUACCCGAAGCAGCUCCGUGCCCAUCUCCUUGUGACAUUCAUUGGGGGAAAUGAAAUACAGGCAAAUAAAUAUGCCCAUUAUAAGUCACCAUUUAUCUUGCAAAAACAUUGAAAAUGAAACAAUCACAGGUGUUUGAAAAGACAAUAUAAAGCAUAUUUCCUAAAACCUUAAAGACUAAUGAGUGCAAUGCUAAUCUGAUGCUGAACCAUAAUUUUAUGGUAGUGAGACUUUCAUUUUUUAAAAUAAAAAUUUAUCUAAUACCUAACUGGAAAAAAAAACCCCAAACUUUUAAGAUUAAUAAAAAGUGUUUUCCCUUUUAGCGCCCUUUUGUGCUGAUUUUUCUUUUAAAUUUUAACUGAUCACAGUUUAAUGGUAUUUAUUUUCAAUACAGUUACAAGUUUUUUCACCUACACUUUCCAGUAGAGUCUUUUGUGUUUGGAGUUAACCGUUUUCCAUCAAGAUAAGGUCAAAAAUGCACUUAAAACUAUUAACAAAGGGGAGAAAGGAAGGAUUGAAAAUGGCAUUUUUUCCCCCUUCAUUUGCCUUCCUUAGUGAAAGAGGGGGGAGAAAGCUGUCCAAGUCAAAGUGGUAUAUUCUGCAAUAAAUUACAGGAAAAGAGGGCGUGGGACCCUAAAUAUGACUUGACAAACAAAUGAGCUAGUGAAGACAAAACCUGUCUACUGCGUGGAGAUCGUCUAUGUAUGCUGUGGGUAUUUGUGUGCUAAAAAACACAGCCUUAUGCAUACACUAUUAAGUUCUUGGGUCCUUUUUUAUGUAAAAAAAAAAAAAAAAGCUUAUUAGAGAAACAAAGUUUAACUGCUGCUGUCAGCAUAAAGAAUUCUUCAUAAUUGUUACUAAAACUGAAGGUAGAGAACUAUAUAGGGAUAUCUGAAGAUAUAUACUUCCCUAGUUCUCUUCAAAGUGCCACUUUCUUUCUGCUGGACAACUCUGGAAAUAUAUUUAACCUCCACAUUUCCUCUGAGCUCUUUCACAAUGGGCCCGCCUGAUAAAAUGAAGCAAUCAGUCACUCACUAUCGAUUUUUCUUUUUCUUCCCUCCAUAACCUCCCCCAGAAACACUGCCUGAAAAUGAAGUUUACUUUGUGGCUCGUAUCAACAACCAAUGCUUAUUUUUAUAUUGCAAACUGGAUUCUUGCCUUGGAUAAAGCGGGUAGACCACGCACAUUUCCUGAAAGCAGAGAAUUGUCUAUUUUGUAUGAAGCCAAUCGUUUUGCUUUGGUAAGAGGAACAAAUAGAUGUUACACCCUUGUAAGGGGAAUCUGAAGGUAACCAAAGUUCACAAACAGUACGAAUAAGGGGCAACACAAGAACAUUAGAAAUGGAGAGAGGCC